GGUGACGAGCGGCGGACGGGUGAGUAAUGUCUGGGAAACUGCCUGAUGGAGGGGGAUAACUACUGGAAACGGUAGCUAAUACCGCAUAUCGUCUACGGACCAAAGUGGGGGACCUUCGGGCCUCACGCCAUCAGAUGUGCCCAGAUGGGAUUAGCUAGUAGGUGGGGUAAUGGCUCACCUAGGCGACGAUCCCUAGCUGGUCUGAGAGGAUGACCAGCCACACUGGAACUGAGACACGGUCCAGACUCCUACGGGAGGCAGCAGUGGGGAAUAUUGCACAAUGGGCGCAAGCCUGAUGCAGCCAUGCCGCGUGUGUGAAGAAGGCCUUAGGGUUGUAAAGCACUUUCAGCGAGGAGGAAGGGUUCAGUGUUAAUAGCACUGUUCAUUGACGUUACUCGCAGAAGAAGCACCGGCUAACUCCGUGCCAGCAGCCGCGGUAAUACGAAGGGUGCAAGCGUUAAUCGGAAUUACUGGGCGUAAAGCGCACGCAGGCGGUUUGUUAAGUCAGAUGUGAAAUCCCCGCGCUUAACGUGGGAACUGCAUUUGAAACUGGCAAGCUAGAGUCUUGUAGAGGGGGGUAGAAUUCCAGGUGUAGCGGUGAAAUGCGUAGAGAUCUGGAGGAAUACCGGUGGCGAAGGCGGCCCCCUGGACAAAGACUGACGCUCAGGUGCGAAAGCGUGGGGAGCAAACAGGAUUAGAUACCCUGGUAGUCCACGCUGUAAACGAUGUCGAUUUGGAGGUUGUGCCCUUGA
rnacentral:rRNA from 1 species